rnacentral:rRNA from 1 species
AGUUAAGUGACUAAGCGUACGA